GAUGAAGAACGUAGCGAAAUGCGAUACGUAAUGUGAAUUGCAGAAUUCAGUGAAUCAUCGAGUCUUUGAACGCACAUUGCGCCCCCUGGUAUUCCGGGGGGCAUGCCUGUCCGAGCGUCAUUGCUGCCCUCAAGCACGGCUUGUGUGUUGGGCCUCCGCCCCCCGGCUCCCGGGGGGCGGGCCCGAAAGGCAGCGGCGGCACCGCGUCCGGUCCUCGAGCGUAUGGGGCUUCGUCACCCGCUCCGUAGGCCCGGCCGGCGCCCGCCGGCGACCCCCCUCAAUCGUUCCAGGUUGACCUCGGAUCAGGUAGGGAUACCCGCUGAACUUAAGCAUAUCAAUAAGCGGAGGA
rnacentral:misc_RNA from 1 species